rnacentral:rRNA from 2 species
CCGAAGCGGGGGAUAACAUUUGGAAACAAGUGCUAAUACCGCAUAAUUAGUUGGAACCGCAUGGUUCCAACUUGAAAGAUGGCUCUGCUAUCACUUUGGGAUGGACCCGCGCCGUAUUAGUUAGUUGGUGAGAUAAAAGCCCACCAAGACGAUGAUACGUAGCCGACCUGAGAGGGUAAUCGGCCACAUUGGGACUGAGACACGGCCCAGACUCCUACGGGAGGCAGCAGUAGGGAAUCUUCCACAAUGGACGAAAGUCUGAUGGAGCAACGCCGCGUGAGUGAUGAAGGUUUUCGGAUCGUAAAACUCUGUUGUUAAAGAAGAACAAGUGUUAGAGUAACUGUUAACACUUUGACGGUAUUUAACCAGAAAGCCACGGCUAACUACGUGCCAGCAGCCGCGGUAAUACGUAGGUGGCAAGCGUUGUCCGGAUUUAUUGGGCGUAAAGCGAGCGCAGGCGGUUUUGUAAGUCUGCUGUGAAAGCCCUCAGCUCAACUGAGGAAGUGCAGUGGAAACUACAAAACUUGAGUACAGAAGAGGAAAGUGGAACUCCAUGUGUAGCGGUGAAAUGCGUAGAUAUAUGGAAGAACACCAGUGGCGAAGGCGGCUUUCUGGUCUGUUACUGACGCUGAGGCUCGAAAGCAUGGGUAGCGAACAGGAUUAGAUACCCUGGUAGUCCAUGCCGUAAACGAUGAAUACUAGGUGUUGGAGGGUUUUCCGCCCUUCAGUGCCGCAGCUAACGCAUUAAGUAUUCCGCCUGGGGAGUACGACCGCAAGG